rnacentral:rRNA from 1 species
GAUGAACGCUGGCGGCGUGCCUAAUACAUGCAAGUCGAGCGAACAGACGAGGAGCUUGCUCCUCUGACGUUAGCGGCGGACGGGUGAGUAACACGUGGAUAACCUACCUAUAAGACUGGGAUAACUUCGGGAAACCGGAGCUAAUACCGGAUAAUAUAUUGAACCGCAUGGUUCAAUAGUGAAAGACGGUUUUGCUGUCACUUAUAGAUGGAUCCGCGCCGCAUUAGCUAGUUGGUAAGGUAACGGCUUACCAAGGCAACGAUGCGUAGCCGACCUGAGAGGGUGAUCGGCCACACUGGAACUGAGACACGGUCCAGACUCCUACGGGAGGCAGCAGUAGGGAAUCUUCCGCAAUGGGCGAAAGCCUGACGGAGCAACGCCGCGUGAGUGAUGAAGGUCUUCGGAUCGUAAAACUCUUUUAUUAGGGAAGAACAAAUGUGUAAGUAACUAUGCACGUCUUGACGGUACCUAAUCAGAAAGCCACGGCUAACUACGUG